rnacentral:rRNA from 1 species
UGUGCUUUAGACAUGCAAGUCGAGCGAGAAAGCCCUUCGGGGUGAGUAAAGCGGCGAACGGGUGAGUAACACGUGGGCAAUCUGCCCCUCGCAGGGGGACAACCGGGGGAAACUCCGGCUAAUACCCCGUACGCUAUGUGGAUCGCAUGGUUCAUAUAGGAAAGGUAGCUUCGGCCAUCCGGCGAGGGAUGAGCCCGCGGUACAUUAGCUAGUUGGUGGGGUAACGGCCUACCAAGGCGGCGAUGUAUAGCUGGUCUGAGAGGAUGAUCAGCCACACUGGGACUGAGACACGGCCCAGACUCCUACGGGAGGCAGCAGUCGGGAAUCUUGCACAAUGGGCGAAAGCCUGAUGCAGCAACACCGUGUGAGCGAUGAAGGCCCUAGGGUCGUAAAGCUCUGUUGUUGGGGACGAAGGGCGAAGGGUUAAUAGCCCCUAGCUUGACGGUACCUUUCGAGGAAGCUCCGGCUAACUACGUGCCAGCAGCCGCGGUAAUACGUAGGGAGCGAGCGUUGUCCGGAAUUAUUGGGCGUAAAGAGCGUGUAGGCGGUUCGGUAAGUCUGUCGUGAAAACCUGGGGCUCAACCCUGGGCGUGCGAUGGAUACUGCCGGGCUAGAGGAUGGUAGAGGCCAGUGGAAUUCCCGGUGUAGCGGUGAAAUGCGCAGAUAUCGGGAGGAACACCAGUAGCGAAGGCGGCUGGCUGGGCCAUACCUGACGCUGAGACGCGAAAGCGUGGGGAGCGAACAGGAUUAGAUACCCUGGUAGUCCACGCCGUAAACGAUGAACACUAGGUGUUGGUGGAGUCGAAUCCGUCGGUGCCGCAGUUAACGCGUUAAGUGUUCCGCCUGGGGAGUACGGCCGCCAAGGCUAAAACUUCACACGAAUUGACUGGGGGCCCGCACAAGCAGCCGGACCAUGUUCCUUUAAUUUCAUUGCAACGCCGUAGAACCUUUACCUUGGACUUUGACAUUGGUUGCUUGCAAGCCGCACGGGAAAACCUGCUGAACCUUCUUAGGGGUGCCACCAACAGAAUGCCUGCAUUGGACUUGUC